UUUGGUUGUCAGAGAAUUGUAUAAUUUUAUAAUGUGUUGUGUUAUUUGUACUUUUUGUAAUCAUUGAUAAAAUGACGGAUCUGCAACCCCAGGCUCAAAAGAAGACUUCUGAAGAUACUUCAGUGUUAGUGGAUGAGGCUACUAGAGAGAAGAGAAAGGAAGAACUUUUGAUAAGUCCAGAAUGGUUCAGAAAGAAAGCUCGAUCAAUCAUUU